rnacentral:rRNA from 1 species
AUUGAACGCUGGCGGCAUGCCUUACACAUGCAAGUCGAACGGCAGCGGACCUUCGGGUGCCGGCGAGUGGCGAACGGGUGAGUAAUAUAUCGGAACGUACCUUUUAGUGGGGGAUAACGUAGCGAAAGUUACGCUAAUACCGCAUAUUCUGUGAGCAGGAAAGCAGGGGAUCGCAAGACCUUGCGCUGAUUGAGCGGCCGAUAUCAGAUUAGCUAGUUGGUGAGGUAAAGGCUCACCAAGGCGACGAUCUGUAGCGGGUCUGAGAGGAUGAUCCGCCACACUGGAACUGAGACACGGUCCAGACUCCUACGGGAGGCAGCAGUGGGGAAUUUUGGACAAUGGGCGCAAGCCUGAUCCAGCCAUGCCGCGUGAGUGAAGAAGGCCUCGG